rnacentral:rRNA from 1 species
GAUGAACGCUGGCGGCGUGCCUAAUACAUGCAAGUCGAGCGAACGGACGAGAAGCUUGCUUCUCUGAUGUUAGCGGCGGACGGGUGAGUAACACGUGGAUAACCUACCUAUAAGACUGGGAUAACUUCGGAAAACCGGAGCUAAUACCGGAUAAUAUUUUGAACCGCAUGGUUCAAAAGUGAAAGACGGUCUUGCUGUCACUUAUAGAUGGAUCCGCGCUGCAUUAGCUAGUUGGUAAGGUAACGGCUUACCAAGGCAACGAUGCAUAGCCGACCUGAGAGGGUGAUCGGCCACACUGGAACUGAGACACGGUCCAGACUCCUACGGGAGGCAGCAGUAGGGAAUCUUCCGCAAUGGGCGAAAGCCUGACGGAGCAACGCCGCGUGAGUGAUGAAGGUCUUCGGAUCGUAAAACUCUGUUAUUAGGGAAGAACAUAUGUGUAAGUAACUGUGCACAUCUUGACGGUACCUAAUCAGAAAGCCACGGCUAACUACGUGCCAGCAGCCGCGGUAAUACGUAGGUGGCAAGCGUUAUCCGGAAUUAUUGGGCGUAAAGCGCGCGUAGGCGGUUUUUUAAGUCUGAUGUGAAAGCCCACGGCUCAACCGUGGAGGGUCAUUGGAAACUGGAAAACUUGAGUGCAGAAGAGGAAAGUGGAAUUCCAUGUGUAGCGGUGAAAUGCGCAGAGAUAUGGAGGAACACCAGUGGCGAAGGCGACUUUCUGGUCUGUAACUGACGCUGAUGUGCGAAAGCGUGGGGAUCAAACAGGAUUAGAUACCCUGGUAGUCCACGCCGUAAACGAUGAGUGCUAAGUGUUAGGGGGUUUCCGCCCCUUAGUGCUGCAGCUAACGCAUUAAGCACUCCGCCUGGGGAGUACGACCGCAAGGUUGAAACUCAAAGGAAUUGACGGGGACCCGCACAAGCGGUGGAGCAUGUGGUUUAAUUCGAAGCAACGCGAAGAACCUUACCAAAUCUUGACAUCCUUUGACAACUCUAGAGAUAGAGCUUUCCCCUUCGGGGGACAAAGUGACAGGUGGUGCAUGGUUGUCGUCAGCUCGUGUCGUGAGAUGUUGGGUUAAGUCCCGCAACGAGCGCAACCCUUAAGCUUAGUUGCCAUCAUUAAGUUGGGCACUCUAAGUUGACUGCCGGUGACAAACCGGAGGAAGGUGGGGAUGACGUCAAAUCAUCAUGCCCCUUAUGAUUUGGGCUACACACGUGCUACAAUGGACAAUACAAAGGGCAGCGAAACCGUGAGGUCAAGCAAAUCCCAUAAAUUUGUUCUCAGUUCGGAUUGUAGUCUGCAACUCGACUACAUGAAGCUGGAAUCGCUAGUAAUCGUAGAUCAGCAUGCUACGGUGAAUACGUUCCCGGGUCU